UGAGUGGGGCGUUGGUAAGGCAACGGGUUUUGGUCCCGUUAUUCGGAGGUUCGAAUCCUUCCGUCCCAG
rnacentral:tRNA from 1 species